AACCAGAGCAUUGUGCACAUUGCACUCCAAAGAAAACCCACACAAAACAAAAACCCCAAAAAAAACUAAUCCUUCUUCUUGUCUUUCAACGGUCCUCUUGGGAUUUUGCUGAAUACCUUUGCGUCCAACACAGCGUAUUGCUUCUUCAACUCAGCCAUUGCUUUCUCACCGUAUGAGUCUACUUUGUCUUCGUACUUGUCGUAGA
rnacentral:sRNA from 1 species